GAUGAACGCUGGCGGCGUGCCUAAUACAUGCAAGUCGAGCGAACGGACGAGAAGCUUGCUUUUCUGAUGUUAGCGGCGGACGGGUGAGUAACACGUGGAUAACCUACCUAUAUGACUGGGAUCACUUCGGGAAACCGGAGCUAAUACCGGAUAAUAUUUUGAACCGCAUGGUUCAAAAGUGAAAGACGGUCUUGCUGUCACUUAUCGAUGGAUCCGCGCUGCAGUAGCUAGUUGGUAAGGUAACGGCUUACCAAGGCAACGAUGCAUAGCCGACCUGAGCGGGUGGUCGGCCAGACUGGAACUGCGACCCGGUCCAGACUCCUACGGGAGGCAGCAGUAGGGAAUCUUCCGCAAUGGGCGAAAGCCUGACGGAGCAACGCCGCGUGAGUGAUGAAGGUCUUCGGAUCGUAAAACUCUGUUAUUAGGGAAGAACAUAUGUGUAAGUAACUGUGCACGUCUUGACGGUACCUAAACAGAAAGCCCCGGCUAACUACGUG
rnacentral:rRNA from 1 species